GACGAACGCUGGCGGCGUGCCUAAUACAUGCAAGUAGAACGCUGAAGGAGGAGCUUGCUUCUCUGGAUGAGUUGCGAACGGGUGAGUAACGCGUAGGUAACCUGCCUGGUAGCGGGGGAUAACUAUUGGAAACGAUAGCUAAUACCGCAUAAGAGUAGAUGUUGCAUGACAUUUGCUUAAAAGGUGCAAUUGCAUCACUACCAGAUGGACCUGCGUUGUAUUAGCUAGUUGGUGGGGUAACGGCUCACCAAGGCGACGAUACAUAGCCGACCUGAGAGGGGGAUGGGCAACCCGGGGACGGGGACACGCCCCAGACCCCGCGGGGAGGCAGCAGAAGGGAAUCUUGGGAAAGGGACGGAGGUCUGACCAGGAAGCGCCGAGUGAGUAAAGAGGGUUUUCGGAUCGAAAAGCUCUGUUGAAAGAGAAGAACGAGUGUGGGAGUGAAAAGUUCACGUUGUGACGGUAUCUUACCAGAAAGGGACGGCUAACUACGUG
rnacentral:rRNA from 1 species